rnacentral:rRNA from 1 species
CCUACGGGGGGCAGCAGUGGGGAAUAUUGCACAAUGGGCGAAAGCCUGAUGCAGCAACGCCGCGUGAGCGAUGAAGGCCUUCGGGUCGUAAAGCCCUGUCCUCAAGGAAGCUAAUGACGGUACUUGAGGAGGAAGCCCCGGCUAACUACGUGCCAGCAGCCGCGGUAAUACGUAGGGGGCUAGCGUUAUCCGGAAUUCCUGGGCGUAAAGGGUGCGUAGGUGGAUUCUUAAGUCAGAGGUGAAAGGCUAGGGCUCAACCGUGGUAAGCCUUUGAAACUGUGAAACGUGAGUGGAGGAGAGGAGAGUGGAAUUCCUAGUGUAGCGGUGAAAUGCGUAGAUAUUAGGAGGAACACCAGUUGCGAAGGCGGCUCUCUGGACUGUAACUGACGCUGAGGCACGAAAGCGUGGGGAGCGAACAGGAUUAGAUACCCCUGUAGUC